GGGGGUGACAUGGAUUCGACGGGUGCAGUGGGAGGUUACCAGCGUGCCGGAGUUGUCUGGGGCUCCGAUAUCAAACCAGGCGACCAACUAACUGGCGAAUACAAUUACGCCAUGGCUGCCUAACACGCGUUAGCGGUUAGGCCAUACAGCCCGUCGUACUCGACUCUUUGUCCCCAGGGUCGGGCUACGGCGUCGAUAAAGGGGACUCGGUAUCACGACGCCUCUAAGUGGUGCUUAAAUACAGAGGCUGGUAUCAAUCGUGGCCUGUCGCUCGGCAGCGGUUGGUACGAGAUACUAUAGAGUGACUACGCACGUAGACGGUUUCCGGCCGUUGUACUCGGACGGGGGUUCGAUUCCCCCCACCUCCACCA
rnacentral:tmRNA from 1 species